rnacentral:rRNA from 1 species
UACGGGAGGCAGCAGUGGGGAAUAUUGCACAAUGGGGGAAACCCUGAUGCAGCGACGCCGCGUGAAGGAUGAAGUAUUUCGGUAUGUAAACUUCUAUCAGCAGGGAAGAAAAUGACGGUACCUGACUAAGAAGCCCCGGCUAACUACGUGCCAGCAGCCGCGGUAAUACGUAGGGGGCAAGCGUUAUCCGGAUUUACUGGGUGUAAAGGGAGCGUAGACGGCAGUGCAAGUCUGAAGUGAAAGCCCGGGGCUCAACCCCGGGACUGCUUUGGAAACUGUGCAGCUAGAGUGUCGGAGAGGCAAGCGGAAUUCCUAGUGUAGCGGUGAAAUGCGUAGAUAUUAGGAGGAACACCAGUGGCGAAGGCGGCUUGCUGGACGAUGACUGACGUUGAGGCUCGAAAGCGUGGGGAGCAAACAGGAUUAGAUACCCUGGUAGUCCACGCCGUAAACGAUGACUACUAGGUGUCGGGGAGCAAAGCUCUUCGGUGCCGCAGCCAACGCAAUAAGUAGUCCACCUGGGGAGUACGUUCGCAAGAAUGAAACUCAAAGGAAAUUGACGG